rnacentral:rRNA from 1 species
AAGAAGCGGGGAUACUCCUAUAAGACGAAAAGACCCCAUGGAGCUUCAAACCCAACUACACCCUUAACUACCACAACCACACAACCUCUUAGGGCCCUGUAUAGUUGGUUUUAGGUUGGGGCGACCACGGAGUACAACCAAACCUCCGCAAUGAACGGGACCACUCCCUUAUCUAAGAGCCACACCUCUAAGAAUUAAAACACUAACAUAAAAUGAUCCAUGAUCUGAUCAAUGAACCAAGUUACCCUGGGGAUAACAGCGCANUCCAUUUCAAGAGCCCCUAUCGACAAGUGGGUUUACNACCUCGAUGUUGGAUCAGGGUAUCCUAGUGGUGCAGCAGCUACUAAUGGUUCGUUUGUUCAACGAUUAAAACCCU